rnacentral:rRNA from 1 species
AAUAGAUACCCGGGUAGUCCACGCCGUAAACGAUGAAUGCUAGGUGUCAGGGGUUUCGAGACCCUUGGUGCCGAAGUUAACACAUUAAGCAUUCCGCCUGGGGAGUACGGCCGCAAGGCUGAAACUCAAAGGAAUUGACGGGGACCCGCACAAGCAGUGGAGCAUGUGGUUUAAUUCGAAGCAACGCGAAGAACCUUACCAGGUCUUGACAUCCCCCUGACCGGCGCAGAGAUGUGCCUUUCCCUUCGGGGACAGGGGAGACAGGUGGUGCAUGGUUGUCGUCAGCUCGUGUCGUGAGAUGUUGGGUUAAGUCCCGCAACGAGCGCAACCCUUAGGUCCAGUUGCCAGCACUUCGGGUGGGCACUCUGGAGCGACUGCCGGUGACAAACCGGAGGAAGGCGGGGAUGACGUCAAAUCAUCAUGCCCCUUAUGACCUGGGCUACACACGUGCUACAAUGGCCGGUACAAAGGGCAGCGAAGCCGCGAGGCGGAGCCAAUCCCGAAAAAGCCGGUCUCAGUUCGGAUUGCAGG